GAUUAAGCCAUGCAUGUGUAAGUAUAAAUAGUUAACUUUGAAACUGCGAAUGGCUCAUUAUAUCAGUUAUAGUUUAUUUGAUGAAGAAUACUAAUUGGAUAACCGUAGUAAUUCUAGAGCUAAUACAUGUAUAAAGUCUUGUAGACUGCAUUUAUUAGAAUGAAAACCAUAAGUUUCGGCCUAUUCGUGAGUAAUAAUAACUAAUCAUAUCGUAUGCUUAUGUAACGAUGUGUCUUUCAAGUUUCUGCCCUAUCAGCUUUCGAUGGUAGUGUAUUGGACUACCAUG
rnacentral:rRNA from 1 species